rnacentral:lncRNA from 1 species
CUAUGCGUCUAAUUGUAAAAUAUCUUCACUAUUGUUGGACUUUCCCUCCACUUGAGGGACUUGCCCUUUCUUGGCCCAUUUGGGCCCAACCCACUUAAAAGCCCCAAGUCCAUUCCAAUAUAGAGGCAGAAAACGGGGCUUCAUUUCUAGAGAGACACAAAAUUACAACAAAGGCAGAGAAAUGGACGAGAUAGAGAGAGAGAGACUUCGGUUCUUCAGCUUCUUCUCGCCAAUGAUGGAGGCUCGUUUGUGGUCCAAUUAAGCUGAUAUUUCAGUAUGUUAUUCUUGGCGCAAAGGGCUAUAUUUUGACUAGAGCCGAUCAUCCAGAUUUCUCUCCAUUUCUCUUGGCUGUACACACUAGUUUAGUGAGAUUUUCUCCUUAUUAUUGUGUGUAUUUAUUUUGGAUGUUGUCGUUGUUAGUAUCCAAGAACUAUAUGUGUUCUUGAUGCAUUGUAGCCUCUAGAUUUUGAUUUGGAGAUGAUUAACUAUGUAUCCCAUUAUUUUGAUAGUGGAUGGCUUUUAUUGGACUAGGUCCCGG